AACAAGCCGAUCAGUGGCGAAGAGGAUAAAAGUAAAAGUAAACAGCGUUUGUAGGGGAGAAAUCCACUACAGUGGCACUUGAGGAACUUACGGGUAGUGGAUUGGACGCUUGCAGUUCGGCGUUGUGUCCACCACACAUCACACAUGGACAGUAUGGUGUAUUGAUUUAACUUACCAUCAACACCUAAAGAGAACCAGACUUGACUAAUAACAAAGAAAGUGAGACAGUAGGACAGUUGGUGUAGGGGAUAGAGUGAGGUGGCUGGCUGCACUCCAGAGUUGUAGGAAUAAUGACCAUACAGGCAACAUGGAUCUGGCUCCUACUGCUACUUCAUUAUGACUGCAUGGUUCAGGCCAAAGUGCAGCUCACUCCAGAGGAAAUUGAAAUAAUAGGCAGCAAGCAUAACAUCAGCAGUAUAGUUGUUACACCAGCCCCUGCAACUACCACCAGCAACCCUUUUCAGGAAUCUAGUACUGAUUUUGAAGGGAAUACUACUAGCUCCUUUCCACAAG
rnacentral:lncRNA from 1 species